GACGAACGCUGGCGGCGUGCCUAAUACAUGCAAGUGGGACGCAAGGGAACACACUGUGCUUGCACACCGUGUUUUCUUGAGUCGCGAACGGGUGAGUAACGCGUAGGUAACCUGCCUAUUAGCGGGGGAUAACUAUUGGAAACGAUAGCUAAUACCGCAUAAUAUUAAUUAUUGCAUGAUAAUUGAUUGAAAGAUGCAAGCGCAUCACUAGUAGAUGGACCUGCGUUGUAUUAGCUAGUUGGUAAGGUAAGAGCUUACCAAGGCGACGAUACAUAGCCGACCUGAGAGGGUGAUCGGCCACACUGGGACUGAGACACGGCCCAGACUCUACGGGAGGCAGCAGUAGGGAAUCUUCGGCAAUGGACGAAAGUCUGACCGAGCAACGCCGCGUGAGUGAAGAAGGUUUUCGGAUCGUAAAGCUCUGUUGUAAGUCAAGAACGUGUGUGAGAGUGGAAAGU
rnacentral:rRNA from 1 species